rnacentral:rRNA from 1 species
GACGAACGCUGGCGGCGUGCUUAACACAUGCAAGUCGAACGGGCCCGCCCCUGUUUUUGGGGGUGGGUUGAGUGGCGAACGGGUGAGUAUCACGUGAGUAACCUGCCCCCUGCUCCUGGAUAACUGCUUGAAAGGGCGGCUAAUACGGGGUGUGCCGGCUGGUCCGCAUGGGCCUGGUCGGGAUAGUUUCAUCUUCGGGUGUUUCGGUGGGGGAUGGGCUCGCGGCCUAUCAGCUUGUUGGUGGGGUGAUGGCCCACCAAGGCGGUGACGGGUAGCCGGCCUGAGAGGGUGGGCGGCCACACUGGGACUGAGACACGGCCCAGACUCCUGCGGGAGGCAGCAGUGGGGGGGAUUGCACAAUGGGCGGAAGCCUGAUGCAGCGACGUCGCGUGAGGGAUGGAGGCCUUCGGGUUGUGAACCUCUUUCUCUGGUGGUGAAGGCCCUGUCCGUUGCGGCGGGGUUGACGGUAGCCGGGUAUGAAGCGCCGGCUAACUACGUG